rnacentral:rRNA from 1 species
CGGCAGGAGGCGAUGAAGGACGUGCUAAUCUGCGAUAAGCGUCGGUAAGGUGAUAUGAACCGUUAUAACCGGCGAUUUCCGAAUGGGGAAACCCAGUGUGAUUCGUCACACUAUCAUUAACUGAAUCCAUAGGUUAAUGAGGCGAACCGGGGGAACUGAAACAUCUAAGUACCCCGAGGAAAGAAAUCAACCGAGAUUCCCCAGUAGCGGCGAGCGAACGGGAGCAGCCCAGAGCCUGAAUCAGUGUGUGUGUUAGUGGAAGCGUCUGGAAAGGCGCGCGAUACAGGGUGACAGCCCCGUACACAAAAAUGCACAUACUGUGAGCUCGAUGAGUAGGGCGGGACACGUGGUAUCCUGUCUGAAUAUGGGGGGACCAUCCUCCAAGGCUAAAUACUCCUGACUGACCGAUAGUGAACCAGUACCGUGAGGGAAAGGCGAAAAGAACCCCGGCGAGGGGAGUGAAAAAGAACCUGAAACCGUGUACGUACAAGCAGUGGGAGCCUCUUAAUGGGGUGACUGCGUACCUUUUGUAUAAUGGGUCAGCGACUUAUAUUCUGUAGCAAGGUUAACCGAAUAGGGGAGCCGAAGGGAAACCGAGUCUUAACUGGGCGUUAAGUUGCAGGGUAUAGACCCGAAACCCGGUGAUCUAGCCAUGGGCAGGUUGAAGGUUGGGUAACACUAACUGGAGGACCGAACCGACUAAUGUUGAAAAAUUAGCGGAUGACUUGUGGCUGGGGGUGAAAGGCCAAUCAAACCGGGAGAUAGCUGGUUCUCCCCGAAAGCUAUUUAGGUAGCGCCUCGUGAAUUCAUCUCCGGGGGUAGAGCACUGUUUCGGCAAGGGGGUCAUCCCGACUUACCAACCCGAUGCAAACUGCGAAUACCGGAGAAUGUUAUCACGGGAGACACACGGCGGGUGCUAACGUCCGUCGUGAAGAGGGAAACAACCCAGACCGCCAGCUAAGGUCCCAAAGUCAUGGUUAAGUGGGAAACGAUGUGGGAAGGCCCAGACAGCCAGGAUGUUGGCUUAGAAGCAGCCAUCAUUUAAAGAAAGCGUAAUAGCUCACUGGUCGAGUCGGCCUGCGCGGAAGAUGUAACGGGGCUAAACCAUGCACCGAAGCUGCGGCAGCGACGCUUAUGCGUUGUUGGGUAGGGGAGCGUUCUGUAAGCCUGCGAAGGUGUGCUGUGAGGCAUGCUGGAGGUAUCAGAAGUGCGAAUGCUGACAUAAGUAACGAUAAAGCGGGUGAAAAGCCCGCUCGCCGGAAGACCAAGGGUUCCUGUCCAACGUUAAUCGGGGCAGGGUGAGUCGACCCCUAAGGCGAGGCCGAAAGGCGUAGUCGAUGGGAAACAGGUUAAUAUUCCUGUACUUGGUGUUACUGCGAAGGGGACGGAGAGGCUAUGUUGGCCGGGCGACGGUUGUCCCGGUUUAAGCGUGUAGGCUGGUUUUCCAGGCAAAUCCGGAAAAUCAAGGCUGAGGCGUGAUGACGAGGCACUACGGUGCUGAAGCAACAAAUGCCCUGCUUCCAGGAAAAGCCUCUAAGCAUCAGGUAACAUCAAAUCGUACCCCAAACCGACACAGGUGGUCAGGUAGAGAAUACCAAGGCGCUUGAGAGAACUCGGGUGAAGGAACUAGGCAAAAUGGUGCCGUAACUUCGGGAGAAGGCACGCUGAUAUGUAGGUGAAGUCCCUUGCGGAUGGAGCUGAAAUCAGUCGAAGAUACCAGCUGGCUGCAACUGUUUAUUAAAAACACAGCACUGUGCAAACACGAAAGUGGACGUAUACGGUGUGACGCCUGCCCGGUGCCGGAAGGUUAAUUGAUGGGGUUAGCGGUAACGCGAAGCUCUUGAUCGAAGCCCCGGUAAACGGCGGCCGUAACUAUAACGGUCCUAAGGUAGCGAAAUUCCUUGUCGGGUAAGUUCCGACCUGCACGAAUGGCGUAAUGAUGGCGGGCUGUCUCCACCCGAGACUCAGUGAAAUUGAACUCGCUGUGAAGAUGCAGUGUACCCGCGGCAAGACGGAAAGACCCCGUGAACCUUUACUAUAGCUUGACACUGAACAUUGAGCCUUGAUGUGUAGGAUAGGUGGGAGGCUUUGAAGUGUGGACGCCAGUCUGCAUGGAGCCGACCUUGAAAUACCACCCUUUAAUGUUUGAUGUUCUAACGUUGGCCCCUAAUCGGGGUUGCGGACAGUGUCUGGUGGGUAGUUUGACUGGGGCGGUCUCCUCCUAAGAGUAACGGAGGAGCACGAAGGUUGGCUAAUCUGGUCGGACAUCAGGAGGUUAGUGCAAUGGCAUAAGCCAGCUUGACUGCGAGCGUGACGGCGCGAGCAGGUGCGAAAGCAGGUCAUAGUGAUCCGGUGGUUCUGAAUGGAAGGGCCAUCGCUCAACGGAUAAAAGGUACUCCGGGGAUAACAGGCUGAUACCGCCCAAGAGUUCAUAUCGACGGCGGUGUUUGGCACCUCGAUGUCGGCUCAUCACAUCCUGGGGCUGAAGUAGGUCCCAAGGGUAUGGCUGUUCGCCAUUUAAAGUGGUACGCGAGCUGGGUUUAGAACGUCGUGAGACAGUUCGGUCCCUAUCUGCCGUGGGCGCUGGAGAACUGAGGGGCUGCUCCUAGUACGAGAGGACCGGAGUGGACGCAUCACUGGUGUUCGGGUUGUCAUGCCAAUGGCACUGCCCGGUAGCUAAAUGCGGAAGAGAUAAGUGCUGAAAGCAUCUAAGCACGAAACUUGCCCGAGAUGAGUUCUCCUGACUCCUGAGAGUCCUGAAGGAACGUUGAAGACGACGACGUUGAUAGGCCGGGUGUGUAAGCGCAGCGAUGCGUUGAGCUAACCGGUACUAAUGAACCGUGAGGCUUAACCU